UCACGAAUCACCUGGCAAGCACGAGGAUCUCUCCCGUGAUGGUGGGACCUAAAAAAGGAUUUUCAGGGAUAACAACUCCCAUAAUUCAACGUACAGUGCACCAAAAAGAGAGACAUGGAUAACAAGAAAGCUAAUAAUGGGUCUGGUCUGAAUCUGAUUGAUGAUGGGUACUGUUUUGGAGUGGUUGAAGCAUUAACAAAAGUUGACGAAUGAAAUUGGAGGUUAAUGGAAUCCCAUUAUACGACCCGUGAAAAGAGGACAUAAAGAUAGUGCUUAUCUAUCUAUAAUUAUCUUAAAUAAUCUUGAGUUGUUGGAGUUCACGCCCCCAUUACCUUUUUCUAUCUUUAGCCUUAACCAAAUUCCAUCUGUUUCUAUAACUUAUCCACAUCCAAGGUGGUGGGAUAGUUUAGUUAAUCAUUUGCUGACAACAGGCCAUUGAAGAGCUUUCCAAAGAAGAUGGCCAACAAGGAGAUGAAGGUGGAGAUUCCAUCGCAUGGUGAACAUAUGCCAGGCAUUUCUGGGCUGACGAGACAGCCUAGUACUGGGAGGAGCAACUGCCUAUGCUCUCCCACCACGCAUGCAGGUUCCUUCCGUUGCAGGCUUCACCGCUCCCCAAGCCUUCAGCGAACCAGAAGCGCCAUAGACUCUACAUCCCUUCGAGAUUCAACCUCUAAGGGAAAUACUCCCACUGCUGAUGCUGCUGAAAAAUAGAACACAGUCCAGGCCCAGUAUUAAUUCUUAUAGCUAAGUGCAAGUUGCUGGUGCUGCAGCUCCUUUUUAUUGCUUGUACAGCUCGAGCCAUCCGCUAUCUUCUUGGUUGUUUGCUUUAUAAUUUUGAAUCCCCCUACUGUUUCUCUCUUUUUGCCCAGUAUUUUCAAAUGCAAUGUAUCUGCUGCUUCUUAAGCCUUAAAGGUACAAAGUGUUGGGAUUUUAAUGUAAA